AUGCACGCAACCUCAGGAGAAGCAAGGUUGCUGCCUGGGAAGGGGUAUGGUACAGACAAGCCAGGGGCCAGGAGGAGUCUGAAGCUACAUACCAAGAGGAAUCUGCAAGCCCAGUGGUGGCAUCUCUGCAAGGCUGUCUGUGUUCACAGUGAAGCAGAGCCUGAACAGAGUCAAGAACGGCCUAGCUACCCUUGCAGGGUUGGCCAGAGUGGCCAAGUUGGUGAGGGGCCCUGCCGAAGGUGCCUGGCUGUUCUGCGGGCUGGACUAUUGCUGGUGAUGAGGAUAUUGGCAUACGGAUGCUGCUGCCGCUGCCGCUGCCGCUGCCGCUGCCGCUGCCGCUGCCGCUGCUAUUGUUGCUAUGGAUGACAGUGAUGAUGGCGG
rnacentral:lncRNA from 1 species